rnacentral:rRNA from 1 species
AUUGAACGCUGGCGGCAGGCCUAACACAUGCAAGUCGAGCGGAUGAAGGGAGCUUGCUCCUGGAUUCAGCGUCGGACGGGUGAGUAAUGCCUAGGAAUCUGCCUGGUAGUGGGGGAUAACGUCCGGAAACGGGCGCUAAUACCACAUACGUCCUGAUGGAGAAAGUGGGGGAGCUUCGGACCUCACGCUAUCAGAUGAGCCUAGGUCGGAUUAGCUAGUUGGUGGGGUAAAGGCCUACCAAGGCGCCGAUCCGUAACUGGUCUGAGAGGAUGAUCAGUCACACUGGAACUGAGACACGGUCCAGACUCCUACGGGAGGCAGCAGUGGGGAAUAUUGGACAAUGGGCGAAAGCCUGAUCCAGUCAUGCCGCGUGUGUGAAGAAGGUCUUCGGAUUGUAAAGCUCUUUACGUUGGGAGGAAGGGCAGUAAGUUAAUACCUUGCUGUUUUGACGUUACCAACAGAAUAAGCACCGGCUAACUACGUG